rnacentral:rRNA from 1 species
UACGUAGGUGGCAAGCGUUGUCCGGAAUUAUUGGGCGUAAAGCGCGCGCAGGCGGUCCUUUAAGUCUGAUGUGAAAGCCCACGGCUCAACUGUGGAGGGUCAUUGGAAACUGGGGGACUUGAGUGCAGAAGAGGAAAGCGGAAUUCCACGUGUAGCGGUGAAAUGCGUAGAGAUGUGGAGGAACACCAGUGGCGAAGGCGCUUUCUGGACCAUAACUGACGCUGAGGCACGAAAGCGUGGGUAGCAAACAGG